rnacentral:rRNA from 1 species
CCCACUGCUAUCGAGGUGGGACUAAGCCAUGCUAGUCGAACGAACAGAACUAUGUCUGUAAGUGGCAUACUGCUCAGUAACACGUAGCUAACCUACCCUUAGGACGUCGAUAACCCCGAGAAAUUGGGGCUAAUAGGCGAUAGGUGUGAUGUCCUGGAAUGGUAUCACGCCCAAAGGUAUCCCAUACAUGUUUGGUAUACGCCUAAGGAUGGGGCUGCGGCCGAUCAGGCUGUUGGUGAGGUAAUGGCUCACCAAACCUUUGACCGGUACGGGCCAUGAGAGUGGUAGCCCGGAGAUGGACACUGAGACAAGGGUCCAGGCCCUACGGGGCGCAGCAGGCGCGAAACCUCCUCAAUGCACUAACGUGCGAAGGGACUACCUCGAGUGCUAUCUGAAGAAGGUGGCUUUUCCUUGGUCUAAAAAGCCUUGGGAAUAAGAGGGGGGCAAGACUGGUGUCAGCCGCCGCGGUAACACCAGCCCCUCGAGUGGUGGGGAUGAUUAUUUGGCCUAAAGCGUCCGUAGCCGGCCAGAUAAGUUUCCCGUUAAAUCUAGCGUCUCAAGCGUUAGACUGCGGGAAAUACUAUCUGGCUAGAGAGUGGGAGAGGUUAGCGGUAUUCUGGGGGUAGGGGCGAAAUCCUUUGAUCCCCGGAGGACCACCAGUGGCGAAGGCUGCUGACUAGAACACGUCUGACGGUCAGGGACGAAAGCUGGGGUAGCGAACCGGAUUAGAUACCCGGGUAGUCCCAGCCGUAAACGAUGCAUGCUAGGU